ensembl:piRNA 21ur-3742 ncRNA
UAAGUUAGGCGUAAUACUUGU